rnacentral:tRNA from 1 species
GGGAUUGUGGCUCAGUAGUAUAGUACUUGCCUAGCAUGCAUGAGGCACUGGGUUCAAUCCCCGGCACCA